ACCAUUCUCAACUCAAUCAUUCACUAUCAAACUCUUCUAUAUAGGUCUAAUACUGACCUUUCCCACAAUUCACCAUCUCAAUUAAUCAACAUACUAGAAAUCAUAUGUCUAAACUUAAGAAUCCUAAUCUCUUUAAAUAUCCACACUUAACUCGAUCAUCUAACUAAACUCGAUGCUUCACUCACAUCUCUAGACUAUUCCUAAAUAGUCCGACCAUACCUCUAUGUGAGGUUACACCACAUUCUUCUCUAGAAAACCUAUAACUAUAAUCUAUAUUCUAAUUUCAAAUACUUAUAACCUGUUGCUCUGAUACCAACUGUGACAGUCC
rnacentral:lncRNA from 1 species